CCGCGUGCGCGUGCGCGCUCUCUGGCAGGGAGGCGCGCGAGGGGUGCCUGCGGCGGCCGCGUGCUCCCGCGAGGGGGCGUGUCCUUCCGCGUCCAGCUGGGUCCCCGAGGGUCCAGAUCCACGCGCGGGCUGGAGAGCGCGCACGGCUGUGAAGAGGGAUGGAGAUGGAGCCUCAUGACAAAAAUGAAAGUGAACAUGAUGUGGGAAAUAUAAAGAAGAGAUCCCCAAGAUAAGGAUUCUGGAGCAGAAAGUAGAGCACUUCCAAUGAACAACUUAUUCAUCCAAAAGCCAAGACUACUUACUGGAAAUUUCAGAGAAUGAAUGAGGGAGAGUCAGAGUGAGGGAGACACAGAAUCCGAAACAGGCUCCAGGCUCUGAGCUGUCAGCACAGAGCCCGACGCGGGGCUCAAACUCACGGGCCGCGAGAUCAUGACCUGAGCCGAAGUCGGACACUUAACCGACUGAGCCACCCAGGCGCCCCUCAGGAUGCAUGACAAUCAAGUGUGCUCUUCAAUCCCCUUCAAGUUUUGGACCUGUUGUGUAAUUCCUACAGCACAUAAUCAAAGUGCUAUUUGAUCUAACUGGUUUGGGGUCUAUAUACAAUGAUCCCCUUGGAGGAGUCCCCAGAUGUUUUCCAGAUCAUUCAUUCCGUUGAUUCAGUACAAUUUAUUGGGUGUGUGUGUGCCAGGUACUAGUUAUGCAAUGAUGACUAAGAUAGUCCCUAUUCUCUGUCAGCUUCUUAUAGUAAAGUCUGUGAACUGACCACACAGAUGACCUGCAGAAGUCUGCUGCAGAUUCUCCUGCCCUAUUCCAGACCUCCUGAACCCAAAUCUCAGAGGCAAGGGAUUCUGCGCUUUGAAGAUGUUCCCUAGAUCCUUUCAUUCAGGAGGCAUCUCCCUGGAGACGGAGGAAAUGGUAGGAGUCCCCUGGGGUGCUGUCAGCUCCACUUGCUGAACUUCUGGAGAAAGAGUGAAAUACUAGGACACAUGCUCUGGGGCCCUGGGCGGCUCAGUUGAUUAAGCGUCUGACUUUGGCUCAGGUCAUGAUCUUGCACUGGUGAGUUUGAGCCCCGUGUCAGGCUCUGUGCUGACAGCUCAGAGCCCAGAUCCUGCUUUGGAUUCUGUGACUCCCUGUCUCUCCGCCCCUCCCCUGCUCGCACUCUGUCUCUCUCGCUCUCAACAAUAAACGGACACUAAAAAAAAUUUUUUAAACAGGACAUGUGCUCUCCACUUUGCCACAGUCUCUACCACUCCUUAUCAUGUUAUACAGGACCCAUAUAUUAUUCACUUCCAUUGCCUUCCCAGCCCCUCUACGCAUUUGCAUCCUAGGUCUGUUUUAGGAAUUCUGUGGCUAAAAAGGUAGACCACAAUCAAGCUUGACUUUCAGGCUAAGGAAUUUGGUCUUCAUUCUAUAGGAAAUAGAGAGCCAUUAAUUUUUUAGUAGGGUAGCCAAGGCUUAAAGCAACUCUUUCAAAAAUGAUUCUGACUUUUAUUUGAAACUAAGGAUGAGGAAGGGAGAAUGGAGGCAGGGGGCUGAUGAAGGGGUAACCUUACAUUUCAUUGUCUCAGGAAAUGGAAGCUGGGCCUAGGCUGUGAAAUGAGUGGGUCUGGCCUACACGGCCUCCAGACAUGCAGUUAAGAACAGGAUUGGGAGCCUUGGGCAGUGCAAGGACAAGUAGAAAGCCAAACCUGGACUGGAAAUGCAUGGUCAUCAGUGAGGUGAAGCUAACUGGCCCAGAGCCUAGAGGGACUUUUUGAAGCAGAGACACAAGGCCCUUAAAUAAGGGCCUGCAAGCAGGAAGGGAACCAUCAGAGCUGGUUCUGGCCAGGCAGGCAAAGGUAAUACCAAGGUGGUGGUUGUGGGAAUGGAAAUAGCUGGAGAGAUGUAAAAGCCAUUUAGAAGAAAGAUCCAGUGAUACUGGUAGCUACUAGGAAAGGGGGUCUUAAGGAGGAAUAAAAAAAAAUGAUUCUAAGACUCCUAACUUGGGAGCCAAAGAAGAUAGUGGUGAGGAGGAAGAAGAAAUUUUUGAGUAUAUGAAAUAUGAGGUUCCAUCAGGAUGCCCAGUAGGCACUGGAAGGACUGACGUUUAGAGAGGUGUAGGCUGAAAGUAAUACUAGGGUAUCAUCUUGCACAAAGAUGAGAGAUGAAGAUAGAGAAAAGGAAGAGGGAGGGAGAGAAGCAGAGUAAAGAGUAAAUCUUAGGGCGAAUUUAAAUUUAGGAUGUCCAUGAAAGUAUCACAAAUGGUCUGAUAUGGAGGAAGAGAAACAUUUAGCUCCAUGCUGGUUAAGGGGCAAGGGGCAAGGCCAUAGUGUUGUCACAACCUUCAAAGACCACAGCAAAUGAGGACCAAGAAACAGAAGCAAAGCCAAAGUAGUAUUUUCUAGAAAGAGGAUCUCCACAUUCAUUCAUUCAACAAGUAUUUAUUGAGAACCUAGCUUUUAUCCAGGCCCUGAACAAACGGAGGUGGGCCAAACAGAGACCCUAUGCUGAUGGAACUUACAUCCUGCUGGAGAAGACGGACAUUACACAAAGACUGAUCGUGGUCAAUGUUACCAAGAGAAACAAAGCAGGAUCCCUGUGGAAUAGCUGUUGCUUUUAGAGGAGGGUGAGUUUGUCAAUGUUGAAAGAAGACCCACUUGGGAAGAAAACUUGAUUUUGUGUUUCCAGUGUAUGACAGGAAAAUGGUGACCUCUCCAGACCUCAAGGAUAUAUGUAAAAGAGAGAGCUUUUUACCUCAUACUAUCUAGAGUCUUAAGAAUAACACCUCGAGGGGAGCUUGGGUGGUUCAGUUAAGCUCUUGGUUUUGGCCUAGGUCAUGAUCUCAUGUUUGUGAGAUCCAGCCCCACAUCGGGCUCUGCGUUAGUACAGAGUAUGCUUGGGAUUCUCUCUCUUUCUCUCUCACUGUCCCUCCCCCCGCCGCCCCCACCAAAUAAAUAAAUAAACAGUAAAAAACAAAAGUAGCAGAAGAAUACCUUAAGACACCUCCUGCUUAGCCUGACUCCAUGGUUUCCUGGACUCUGUGUACCAACGUGUGGUGGUCCCUGUGGCCUGUCCUGAGGGCCACCACUCAUUAUCUCCACACUAGGUAGCCUGGUCCAUCUGGCUCUCCAGUCUACACACUGGAACUCAGUUAGCAUUCUUGAAGUCCUCAUCUGUGGCCUUUUCUCAGAAACCUUCUGGGGCCCUUAUUGCCGAGCAAAUUGAAGUAAGUGCUUCCUCUGAAUGGCCCAAACCUGCGUCUGUGUCCUCUUGGUCUUCUACUCAUCCCAGGGCCGGGACAAAAUGACACUGCUUGCCAUUCUCCAAACAUGCACCACCUUUUCCUGCCUUUACUACUGCUCCUCCCUAAGUAUUUAUCCCAUCCUUCUCUACCUCUAGAAAACUUACCAUUCAAGACCCAUCUCUAAUGCACUUUCUCCGUCAACUCUUUGUGACGUGAAACGUGGCCUUAAAAAGGAAAUGUGGCCUAUUUUCCUUAAAAUAGUUUCACAACUCACUAUUCUUGUGGCAUCUGCCAGAUUCUUUGUGUGUUGGUGUUACCUGUGUGCUUGUCUUACUCUCCAUUCCCUCUGCACGAUAUACUGGGGCUUUAGGGAAAAACCUCCCUUUUCCUUUUGUACCGUCUGAGGUCAGUAGCACAAGGUCUUGAACCUAACAGGCAGUCAACAAAUCCUGAAUUGGAUUACUCUUCACAGGAGACAAACAAGAAUUUUGAAAGAAGUCUGAAUGUGGGAAAAGUGACUUGGAAGCAAAUAUGUACAAAUGUUGGAAUGUGCUGCAAAGAAAAGCAGAGAGGCAGCCAAUGAGAUGGGCACAGGCACAGUGGGCAGCCAAUCUCCUGGGCCUAGCCGUGAAGGAGGCACAGGCCUACAGCCAGGACUACAAGGUCACCCUCCCACAUGUGGCCCCGCUGUCUGGACCAAUCACCCCAAAGUUCCCCUAGACUGCAGAAAUUAUAGGCGCUGCCCUCACCUGGGCAGUUGUUCUCCUGCUAUAAGCUCUCCCAGGUAGCUUAGGAGAGCACCCUUACCAGUCAUUUUACAUAACAGCUGCGUGAGCGGAACAGCUGACCCCCUCUACUCUCUUAAUCUGCGGGCCUACCCCUCGAUAAAGGCCUUGGUUCACCAGAGCAGUUCAGACUUCCUCCUCCUCAUUUAUUAUGGUUCUCUUUAACUAGUUAUCACCAUGAAAUAACCCUAAAACCGUGACCCGCACCUAACUGGCAAAACAACUUGGCACAAUAGACUCCUAAUCCUCCGACAGCCAUUUCACUGUUAGAGCAUGAGAGAACCACUACCAUUAUUUAGUUCAGCUGUCCCCCAACUGGGCUGCAGUGCAGAAUCAGCUGCAUAAGUUUCCUGUGUUGUUCUCCCACAGCCUUGGGAAUGCUGAUGUGCUCUCCCUCUCAUCCUAUAACUGAGGACUCUGACGUCAGAGCACUUGGCCACCUGGUCCAAGGUCGUGCUGCUGGUGUCAAUAACACUUCUCUAACACACAAGGUACCUUAUUUCAUAUGAUCUUCCAGUAACUUGAGGCUGGUGUUAUUAUAGGAUCAUCCCCACUUUAUAGAGAAGAAAAAAGGAAGCUGGAGAGCAAGCAACUUAUCUAAAGUCUCCUUGUAAUGAACAGACCAAACUUGCACCCAGAUUUCUGGAGCCCCAGUCCUGCCAUCUUUUCACUGUACAAUAAACGUCCUGAGCCCAGGCAAGGGGUUGAUGGAACUGGGUAGAAAGGAUGUUCCCAAUCAGAUUCCAC